CGAGUUCCACUCCCCCGGCACAAUCUCUGUCUCCUUCCAGCCGAAGUUCUCAGCCUCCUUCCAGUAGCCAAGGAGCAAGGAGCAAUGUGAUGAGGAAGCAUGGACUACUUGUACGAUCUCUCGAAGUGGCUGAAACAAGUUUUGCGGCCUAUCUUGAUCUUAUUAAAGAAUUUCCUGGCUGUGGACUAGAGGAUUAGAGCAUGAGUAUAUCAUUAAUUAUAUGAGGAUUGAUUCAUUUCCAUGGGAUCUUAUACAGCCUGCUUGUGUUUUGCACCCUUUUUGUGCCUAGCUUCUAUUAGUGGAAGUUUAGUGGAAAAACGGACCAAAAUGCUUCUGCACCCUUUUUAUGCCUAGCUUUUACUAGUGGAAGUUUAGUGCAAAAGUUGCG
rnacentral:lncRNA from 1 species